AGCAAUGAACCCAAUGCCAAAUUCAAUUGAUGAAAUAUACAAAUAGCGUCCAAGUUUGUUAGAAAGAGCAGGAAAACAGCGGGUAUGUUCCAAGCCUGCCCAAUAUUUUGUCGUAAAACAAGAAGACAGAAACAAACAACAUUAAUCAGCUGGGCUAGUCUGGUCGACAGACACUCUAACGUGCAUCAACCAACAUUAAACUCUUUUCUCAUUUCGUGUGCUG
rnacentral:lncRNA from 1 species